AGUGAAAUAGGGGUGAGUUUCGCUGAUGAAUUGGUGUUUUGAGUUGUCGUUUUGAGUGGUGGUAUAAAUGGGGCUCUGUAGGCCCCAUUGCCUUGUUCAUCAUCCUGUGCUUGGUUCAUGGGAACUGCAAGUUUGACAAUCAAAGGUUGGGAUAUCUCAUUUGAUCUAAGCAAGCCGCUUCACAGCGGCUUCUCUAAAAGCUAAUCCUUUAGUUAGGGAGCUAGACCUAUCCGGGUACUUCCAUAUACCAAGGAUGUGUAUCCAGUUCUUUUUUGUGAGCCUUAUUCCUCUGGGCCAAUCACAAGCAGAGGUACCAAAACUCAAUUUGUAUCCAUUUUUCAUGAUAUUAUGCAUGGAUCAGAUAUAUCAUGGCCAAUUCCUCAUAAGAUUCUUUCACAAUGGACUCUGAUAGGCAAGCGUCUCUUCAAAGCAUCCCUUCUGCAAAGAAUAAAAUAAAUGCAAAUGAUAAUGGAGUAGAAUAUCAUGAAGAGAUUACAAAUACAAAAAAGUAUAUACCUGCAUAGAUAUUGUAGAUGAGGACUUAUUCAUAUAUAAGGAAGGCUUCCCUUAGAACAAGCUCAAACCCAUCUAUUUCAUAAUGGAAUCAGGAAUUCCUUCAAAUCUAUCGACUUACAAACAUAAAGAAAUGCAAUUUUUGGAUAUAUUUCUUAACAAGCUCGGACAAGUGUUCCUCCCCUUCUUUUUCUUACAAUCUUAUUCCCCUUCUGUAUAGUAUAUAGCGACAGAGUUAAACCGGAAGCCCUCAUGGAUUGCCUCCCAAGCAAAAGAAAGAGGCAGUUUGUUGCCCAACCCACCGCCCAAAAUAUCGACCAUGUCCAUCCAUUGAGUCAAGAAAAUUUGAGAAGAUAUGAUCGGGGUUUGGGUUCUUCUAUUUCCGAAAUUAAUCAUACAUGCAGAAAACAAAAACCUAUACCCAAAAAAUUUAAGAAAGAAAGAAAGAAAGAAAGAAAGAAAACCAUUCAAUAGAUUCAAAAUUUCUUGUUGUAACCAGCAGAUCAUACCAUACCCAAAAAAUUGCACCAAGAAAACACCACGAUAUCAAGAUUCAAGAGCACAUCGGUCGAACUAAUGACCCAUUUCUCCCGGGCAUUCUUGCCGAUAUAUUAUUCUCAAUAUCUGAAGCCCGUGAUACCGAGGUCACAAAUCAAGCACUUUACUGUUGCGCAGGGCUCACCAUCCUCCGAUUCAUCUUAAAAACCUAAAAAUCAAGAAGCGAGAAGGGGAUUCGAGAUCAACUCACAUCUUGUCGACGACCCAUUGCCGCAAAUUGUGGUGCAGCUGGCUCCGUCAGUUGCCGGCCGCGGAGAUUGGAACGCCUCUGGCAAAGGCACAAGGAAAAUAAACCGCAGGAGAUCUCGGCCGCGGCGGCGGCGGCGGCGGAGGAGAGGGAGAGGAGAGGACACAACUAACCGGCGGCUAAUAUCGGCGGAACACCAAACCGAAGGCAGACUACCCUCUCCCCGGGUUCUAACGAAGCGGUCGAUGCUGACGCCUUCAUAUAUGUUAACGCCUAUCAUUCUCCAUGGGUUCUAACAUGAUUUAGUUUUCUCCCUAUUUAUAUGAUAAUUACUAAUGACGAGAAUUCUCGUAUUUCUUG
rnacentral:lncRNA from 1 species